rnacentral:rRNA from 1 species
GCGGACGGGUGAGUAAUGCCUAGGAAAUUGCCUUGAUGUGGGGGAUAACCAUUGGAAACGAUGGCUAAUACCGCAUAAUGCCUACGGGCCAAAGAGGGGGAUCUUCGGACCUCUCGCGUCAAGAUAUGCCUAGGUGGGAUUAGCUAGUUGGUGAGGUAAUGGCUCACCAAGGCGACGAUCCCUAGCUGGUCUGAGAGGAUGAUCAGCCACACUGGAACUGAGACACGGUCCAGACUCCUACGGGAGGCAGCAGUGGGGAAUAUUGCACAAUGGGCGCAAGCCUGAUGCAGCCAUGCCGCGUGUAUGAAGAAGGCCUUCGGGUUGUAAAGUACUUUCAGUUGUGAGGAAGGGUGUGUAGUUAAUAGCUGCGCAUCUUGACGUUAGCAACAGAAGAAGCACCGGCUAACUCCGUGCCAGCAGCCGCGGUAAUACGGAGGGUGCGAGCGUUAAUCGGAAUUACUGGGCGUAAAGCGCAUGCAGGUGGUUCAUUAAGUCAGAUGUGAAAGCCCGGGGCUCAACCUCGGAACUGCAUUUGAAACUGGUGAACUAGAGUGCUGUAGAGGGGGGUA